UUCCGUAGGUGAACCUGCGGAAGGAUCAUUACCUAGAGUUGUAGGCUUUGCCUACCAUCUCUUACCCAUGUCUUUUGAGUACCUUCGUUUCCUCGGCGGGUCCGCCCGCCGAUUGGACAAACUUAAACCCUUUGUAAUUGAAAUCAGCGUCUGAAAAAACAUAAUAGUUACAACUUUCAACAACGGAUCUCUUGGUUCUGGCAUCGAUGAAGAACGCAGCGAAAUGCGAUAAGUAGUGUGAAUUGCAGAAUUCAGUGAAUCAUCGAAUCUUUGAACGCACAUUGCGCCCCUUGGUAUUCCAUGGGGCAUGCCUGUUCGAGCGUCAUUUGUACCUUCAAGCUCUGCUUGGUGUUGGGUGUUUGUCUCGCCUUUGCGUGUAGACUCGCCUUAAAACAAUUGGCAGCCGGCGUAUUGAUUUCGGAGCGCAGUACAUCUCGCGCUUUGCACUCAUAACGACGACGUCCAAAAAGUACUUUUUACACUCUUGACCUCGGAUCAGGUAGGGAUACCCGCUGAAC
rnacentral:rRNA from 1 species